UGUAAACAACAAAAAUGGCUUUGUAAUUUUAGUAAUACGACGUGCACAACAGCUGACAACGCGGUGAAAAGAACACAUGCACAGUGAGGAUUGAGAAAAACUCACUUAAUUUACCCUGCCUUGUUUUGGGGCAAGUGAGAUCCGGAUG